AGGGCAACUUUAAUAUGCUUUGAUAGGGACACUUGUCAGAGACUUUGUCUAGCUAGCUUCUCCUUUCUUGAAGAAUGCCAGGUAAUGGGAAUUAUAUCUCAGACCACCUUUGCAAAUUGGCUUCCAUCUCUCAAGAACUUGUUGCAAUUAAGAACUCAGUUCUUCCCACAGGCCUCAACUGGCCAUUUUCUGUAACCAGGCAAGGGCUCAAGUGGAGGAAUUGUUACACCAACCUAUCUCUAAACCUUUUGACCUACAGAUUCUACUGCCUGUAGAGUGAACUGGGACUGGCCCUUAGCAGAAUCAUCAUUAAAGAGAUCACAGAGACUUCUUCCUGCAUCUGAUGGGAGCAGAUGCACAGUCCCACAACCAAACAUUAGGUGGAGUUCAAGGAGUCCUGGGGAGACGGGAGGAAGGAUCUGAGGAACAAGAUUGGUCAGGAACAUACCAUGAGAAUGUUGCCCAGAGAACUAACUGACUGAGACUUGUUGGAACUUGCAGAGAUCAGUAAUCCUGUGAAGCUCUAACCUGGGUACUUUACAUACAUAUGUUGUAGCUGAGUGGCUUGGUGUUCUUGUGGAAAUCAGAGUCGGUCCCUAGCUAACUCUUUUGCCUAUCUGUGGAACCCAUUUUCUCUUACUGGGUUGUCUUGCCCAGCUUUGAUGUGAUGGUAUAUGCCUGGUCUUAUUGUAGUUUGUUAUAGCCUGCUUGAUAUUGGGUUGAUGUCCCUGGAAGGCCGGCUCUUCUCAGGGGGGAGAGAAGAGGGAGGGGAAAUUGGUUGAGAUGUAAUUCAUGAGAGAAUAACAAGAAAACAAAAGUCAAUUCAGUUAGUAGAUUCAUAGACUAACACCUUUGUCACAUGUGUACUUCAAGCUGCUGUCUCUCUCUCUGUGAAUCCAUUUAUAUGCAUGUGCAGUAGUCAGAGGCAGCUUUUGGGAACUGUUUUUUUUUCCUUCUGUUUUGUGGGCUUCAGAAUUAGAUCUCAGUUGAUCAAGCUUGACAGCAAGUGCCUGUACACACUAAACCCUCUCAUUGAUCCCCUAAUAUAGUUUCCAAUAGUCUGUAAAGGGCAUAUAUUUGCACUAUAAUCUUAUUUUUAAAGUAAAAUGUAAACUUAAGUGUUCAUUUGAAUGGGCAAGGAUGGAAAAUUGGUUGUCUGAGGAAAUCAAGUUAAUUGAAGAAUUUAACUAAAAUUAUCAUAGGAGUUUUCUUAUUCAGCACAAUGAAUUGAAACACCUUAAACAUUAAUAGGUAACACACAUUAGUUACAUGGUCCACAGAUAAUUUUAGAAUUUUAAAUAAUUUUUAAUGUAUGGUAUUAUGUCUAAUUUAAAGAAAUUUUCUCUCC
rnacentral:lncRNA from 1 species